GCGUGAUGACGAGGCACUACGGUGCUGAAGCAACAAAUGCCCUGCUUCCAGGAAAAGCCUCUAAGCAUCAGGUAACAUCAAAUCGUACCCCAAACCGACACAGGUGGUCAGGUAGAGAAUACCAAGGCGCUUGAGAGAACUCGGGUGAAGGAACUAGGCAAAAUGGUGCCGUAACUUCGGGAGAAGGCACGCUGAUAUGUAGGUGAAGUCCCUCGCGGAUGGAGCUGAAAUCAGUCGAAGAUACCAGCUGGCUGCAACUGUUUAUUAAAAACACAGCACUGUGCAAACACGAAAGUGGACGUAUACGGUGUGACGCCUGCCCGGUGCCGGAAGGUUAAUUGAUGGGGUCAGCGCAAGCGAAGCUCUUGAUCGAAGCCCCGGUAAACGGCGGCCGUAACUAUAACGGUCCUAAGGUAGCGAAAUUCCUUGUCGGGUAAGUUCCGACCUGCACGAAUGGCGUAAUGAUGGCCAGGCUGUCUCCACCCGAGACUCAGUGAAAUUGAACUCGCUGUGAAGAUGCAGUGUACCCGCGGCAAGACGGAAAGACCCCGUGAACCUUUACUAUAGCUUGACACUGAACAUUGAGCCUUGAUGUGUAGGAUAGGUGGGAGGCUUUGAAGUGUGGACGCCAGUCUGCAUGGAGCCGACCUUGAAAUACCACCCUUUAAUGUUUGAUGUUCUAACGUGGACCCGUGAUCCGGGUUGCGGACAGUGUCUGGUGGGUAGUUUGACUGGGGCGGUCUCCUCCUAAAGAGUAACGGAGGAGCACGAAGGUUGGCUAAUCCUGGUCGGACAUCAGGAGGUUAGUGCAAUGGCAUAAGCCAGCUUGACUGCGAGCGUGACGGCGCGAGCAGGUGCGAAAGCAGGUCAUAGUGAUCCGGUGGUUCUGAAUGGAAGGGCCAUCGCUCAACGGAUAAAAGGUACUCCGGGGAUAACAGGCUGAUACCGCCCAAGAGUUCAUAUCGACGGCGGUGUUUGGCACCUCGAUGUCGGCUCAUCACAUCCUGGGGCUGAAGUAGGUCCCAAGGGUAUGGCUGUUCGCCAUUUAAAGUGGUACGCGAGCUGGGUUUAGAACGUCGUGAGACAGUUCGGUCCCUAUCUGCCGUGGGCGCUGGAGAACUGAGGGGGGCUGCUCCUAGUACGAGAGGACCGGAGUGGACGCAUCACUGGUGUUCGGGUUGUCAUGCCAAUGGCACUGCCCGGUAGCUAAAUGCGGAAGAGAUAAGUGCUGAAAGCAUCUAAGCACGAAACUUGCCCCGAGAUGAGUUCUCCCUGACCCUUUAAGGGUCCUGAAGGAACGUUGAAGACGACGACGUUGAUAGGCCGGGUGUGUAAGCGCAGCGAUGCGUUGAGCUAACCGGUACUAAUGAACCGUGAGGCUUAACCUU
rnacentral:rRNA from 1 species